UACGAAGGGGGCUAGCGUUGUUCGGAAUUACUGAGCGUAAAGCGCAUGUAGGCGGCGAUUCAAGUCGGGGGUGAAAUCCCAGGGCUCAACCCUGGAACUGCCUUCGAUACUGUCUUGCUAGAGUAUGGAAGAGGUAAGUGGAACUGCAAGUGUAGAGGUGAAAUUCGUAGAUAUUUGCAAGAACACCAGUGGCGAAGGCGGCUUACUGGUCCAUUACUGACGCUGAGAUGCGAAAGCGUGGGGAGCAAACAGG
rnacentral:rRNA from 1 species